UCUGAGCCACAGUACAUUGUGUUAGUUUCCUACCAGGAUGGUGCAUCUCUUCAAACAGCUCCCUGGCUGCACCCAUUGUUUGAUUGCAAUCACUUUUUCCUCGUCUGCCAAGAUGGCUGAUGUCAUAGGGCGCUAUGCGUUCUCCUUCUGUUCUACAUCGUUCACUUCUCACUGGCUGCAGAGCCGUUUCCACAUUCCAAGAUGCGGAAGUUUCCACUGCUGCCAUGAACUGGCACUGUUCACCUGACUCCAAAUACAGAGAUUCUACACUGGAUGCAAACACUGGAAUACCGUGUUUGUUUUGGACAUAAAGAAGAGGUCCUUUUGUCUUCAGUCGGAUCACCUCUGAUGAAAUAUCACUAUUCAAGGCCAACCUGCAAGACUUUGUUCCAAAUCACACAGCAGCCAUCUGUUGGCAACAACACGGUCCUUUGCGGUUUGUUGAACGUAACCUCUCCUGAUCUUUGUUUGCAUGACUUACAAUGGGGUUGGAUUGUAGUCACUGUGGAUUAUGUUUAUACCUUGCAUCCUGUACUGAGAACAUGCAAAUGGAGUAGUAUAGAAUGUGAAGAUGAUCCUCAAUAAAAGCAAAGUUCUUUGUAUUCUCUU